GCCGGACGCGGUGGCGCGCGCCUGUAAUCCUAGCUACUGGGGAGGCUGAGGCUGGAGGAUCGCUUGAGCCCGGGAGUUCUGGGCUGCAGUGCGCUAUGCCGAUCGGGUGUCCGCACUAAGUUCGGCAUCAAUAUGGUGACCUCCCGGGAGUGGGGGACCACCAGGUUGCCUAAGGAGGGGUGAACCGGCCCAGGUCGGAAACGGAGCAGGUCAAAACUCCCGUGCUGAUCAGUAGUGGGAUCGCGCCUGUGAAUAGCCACUGCACUCCAGCCUGGGCAACAGAGUGAGACCCCGUCUCUU
rnacentral:SRP_RNA from 1 species